rnacentral:tRNA from 1 species
UCCUCGAUGGUCUAACGGUCAUGAUUUCCGCUUGUCACUCCAACCAGAACGAGCGCGGGAGACCAGGGUUCGACUCCCUGUCGGGGAG